AGGCCAUCAUUAGAGCUCCCAUGGACGGCUCGAGGAACCACCACUACUUCAGCAGCUCUCUCGAGAAGUGAUAUCAAGACAACCGAAGCACCAUCCCCAGAAGAGCUUCCAAUAGGACGCAGAGGUGGCUGCUCUGAAGAACAAACCACAGCUGCAAGGCAAGCACUCAGCGCUCGGAGGUCCAUAGCUUGAACACAGACCGUGACUGCCUUGGCAAGAUUAGCAAUCGUCUCUGCUGCUAGAGUAUCCGAAGGCAAGCCGCCGAAGAGAAACCUCAAGUGGCGGAAUAUAGCCAUACAGACAACUCGAGCAAUCUCAGUGCCUGGAACUAGAAGCUGUAUGUACUUCGUAAGCAUUUUCCGACCCUUUGGAAGAGUUGCUAUACGCAGAAACACAACAUCAUCCUUAGCAGUCAGCCCUGACUUCUGACCGGUUUUGCUGAACGGAUCAGCAAGCUGAAGUGCCGUCGCUAGACCUUCAAGGAGGAUCUGGCGUUUUCUCUUCACCUGAGCGCCUCCGUCUUGAGGCCUUGUGGACUGGAGAGUCCUGUCAAUGUCAACUAUGUCGAUAAGAACUCCUAGAGCAUCUUCAAUUGUAACCCUAGCUGCCACAAGUGGUUCCUGCUCCAAAUGUUUCCCUGAGCCCUUUUGAUCAUUAGAACCAGGAGAAGAAGAAGAGUCAACCUCAAGCAAGGCACGUGGCCUGCGAAUAUAGGGAAGCGUGAUCUUCCCAAGAGCAUCUACAUGAACUUGUUGUUGAUGCUGUUCAGAACUAUUAUUACGGGACUUAGGUUGGUGGUGGUGGUCUUUCAACUGAGAAGGGUAGAAGAGAGUGAUUGCUCUACUAGAUCCAGAAGACUUCUUGGCAAGGCGAGCUUGGUGGUAAUAAUCAUUGACAUAAGGAUCGUUGCUGUGUGAAUUAGAGUGCUGCAUCUUGAGUAUACUCUCUAUUUCCUCUGAAGUCAUGUACUUUGAUCUAAACUGCAAUCCACUCUCGCUUUUCUGACUAGCUGCGUCUGAUGCCUGUUGAGAUAUGCCUUUGUUCUUUCGACUCCUAUGAGAAGACUUAUGCUUGUGUUGUUCCCUAACUUCACCACCCCCAAAAGAGACUUUACGUGAUGGUGAUGGAUAAGACCUGUACAGCUGAGACUGUAGCGCUGCAAGCUGAGCAUACGAUUGUCUCUGCUGGAGAGCCAUCAUAUGUUGCGACAUAAGAUCAAUUCGAGGAGGGAAUUGUUGUUGUUGCGCCAGACUAUGUAAUAAACCAGAAUGAUCUCCGUGGAGAAGACCAGGAUCAGUGACCCAAUGAGGUUGCACAACGUUACCAAGGGUAGGACCACACGAGGCAUAUCUAGCCAAAUUACCACCAUAGUGAGGCCCGUGUGAGGGUCCUGAAAGAUGAAAUCUAGAGUUUGACAGCGGGGAAGGUGGGGUGAAAUUCAUCUGAGAACCGCUGGGAAGAGAAGGAGCGCGGUGGAGGCUUCCAGGUGAAGUCUGCUGAGAUCUGCUGCCUGGCGGGGGAAAGGAGGUGAAAGUUGAUUCUGGUACAAUGAUCGGUUCACUAUUGUAGUGUUGCAACGGUGGUGGCUGCUGAGGGUAAGAGGAUGUCCUGUAUAAAGGUUGUGAAUGAGCAGAUGACUGUGGCUGCGAGGACCAUCUGUUAGCCUCUUGAUCUUGCUCGUCCAACCAGUUUGUGAGCUCUGUAUCGUGAGUCCAAUCGGUGGCAGAAGAACCUAAAGAUGAAGUACAUUCAGGUUAAGAAGAACCCUAAAGGUAUACAGUAUACAGUAGUAAGCAAGUUAAGAAUUAAACUCACUCUCUCUUGAAAAGGAACCAGAUCCUCUGUCACCAAUAACUCCAAGGUGUUUGGGUCCUGUGACAUUUCUAUUUAGCUACACAAAGAAAAUAAGUAGAUUUAGAAUCACUAACAAACAAGAGUUCAAAGCUGAAGAACAAGAACAGGUAUAACAUGGCAGUUAAAGAUAUUAAGAUCACUAAAAAAGCAGUUUUUGCAACAAAAAAGAAGUUAAAAAAACCUUUGCAAAAGUCGUGGCAAGAUCAUCCAUGUCAGAUAAUGACCCUAAACCUGCACCCUGCAAUAAUCAACAUGUAUGUAUUAGUAAAACAUCAUCACGUGGUAGCUUUCAGAAGAGAAAACACAUUACCUCUCCUUUAUUAAACAAGUGAUACUCGUCAUCAUCAGGAGAAGUAUGUCCAAGAACAGGAGCGACCACUUCGUCAUCGUCAAUGCCUCCUAAUGACAUUUCGUCAAGGUUUUGCCCAAAAAACUCAUACUGAGAUGCAUCAAAGAGCUUACUAUUUGAAUCUGCAGAUACAAAACACAGCCAGUUUCAGCAGACAAUGCCACAAACACAUGGACUUAAAGCUCUAAGACUUUCAAUCAAAGGGAUAACAACAACAAAAGCAAAACUCAAAAAAAAAAAAAAAAGAGAGAAGCUUUUUAGUAUUCAAAAAGGUUUGAUCAUUCAUGAAAUUGGAGAACAAGAAGAACAACUACACAAAAAAAAAAAAAACAAAACCCAUACAGACAUAAUCUACAGGAAAACACAAGACCAGACAGAAGACAAUUAGCAUAAAUUUCAUCCCUUUAUGUGCUUUUCUCACUCGUAAAACGAACCACAAAGCAACACGGAUCUCAGCUAACAACACAAAGAGAAGAAAGAAACAUCCUUUCGAUGAGAUAAAAAGGGAGUGACCUGAGGAAGAGCGAACAAAGUUGUACAAGUCCCUGGAAUCAGAUCUCUCCAUGAUCGGAGGAUAAAAAGAGCGAAACUUUAGAAAUUAGAGGAUGCGAGAGAAGGAAGAGAAGUCGUAUUCCUUCGCGCUAGGGUUUUCCCAGAUGGGGACGCGGAGAGAGAGAGAAUGAUCAACCCAUCACAGAUUCAGAGUUGAUCUGACCACCCCUUGCAUGCGACGCAGACUCACUAACGGCCGACGGUUUACGACCAAAGUUUAACAAAUAGUUCCUCUGGUCGUCAUUGGUAUGACGGAGGCUCGCACGUAAAAGCUCAGCGGGCAUUUCUCUCUUUAUCGCCAGCUCCAAAACAUCCGCUGCACUCCCUUGGUUCUGCCUACGGAUCGUCUCAUACUUGCUCCUGCAGUAUUUAGUAAGCAGGUUGAAGAACUCAUUAAACGAGGCUCUCCAUAGGCCAUCAUUAGAGCUCCCAUGGACGGCUCGAGGAACCACCACUACUUCAGCAGCUCUCUCGAGAAGUGAUAUCAAGACAACCGAAGCACCAUCCCCAGAAGAGCUUCCAAUAGGACGCAGAGGUGGCUGCUCUGAAGAACAAACCACAGCUGCAAGGCAAGCACUCAGCGCUCGGAGGUCCAUAGCUUGAACACAGACCGUGACUGCCUUGGCAAGAUUAGCAAUCGUCUCUGCUGCUAGAGUAUCCGAAGGCAAGCCGCCGAAGAGAAACCUCAAGUGGCGGAAUAUAGCCAUACAGACAACUCGAGCAAUCUCAGUGCCUGG
rnacentral:lncRNA from 1 species